rnacentral:rRNA from 1 species
AUGAAACCAAUGAUGAAAAGCCUACCAUCAACUGCUAAGCUGUCCAGAUUGCGCUGGAGGUAUGGUCCGCCGACGUUGUCCAAAAUGACAUCGACACCUGGUAGAGAUAUUCCCCAUAUUACAGUGAGAAUGAAUGUUAAAUUGCCAAGCAUAACUUGGGAAAGCCAAAAUAUUGUGUUUUAUUUUUGCAUCAGGGCAUCAAGCAUUACAAGAGAAAGGCAGGAUAAUACCAUUUCCAUUUGUUUCUUCUUUGAUGCGUGCUGCAAAGUCUUUGGUUUUGUAGUUUAUGCAUACAUCCGCACCCAAACCCGCACAAGCGGCUAG